GGGCGAUUAGCUCAGUUGGUAGAGCAGCGCUUUUACACAGCGAAGGUCACAGGUUCGAGUCCUGUAUCGCCCA
rnacentral:tRNA from 1 species